rnacentral:tRNA from 1 species
AUAGGUGCUGCUAAUACCAGAAUUAACUGGCACCCUUACUUUUAAAGGAAAUUAGUUA